CUCGUAGGCGGUUUGUCGCGUCCGGUGUGAAAGUCCAUCGCUUAACGGUGGAUCCGCGCCGGGUACGGGCGGGCUUGAGUGCGGUAGGGGAGACUGGAAUUCCCGGUGUAACGGUGGAAUGUGUAGAUAUCGGGAAGAACACCAAUGGCGAAGGCAGGUCUCUGGGCCGUUACUGACGCUGAGGAGCGAAAGCGUGGGGAGCGAACA
rnacentral:rRNA from 1 species